UACGUAGGGCGCAAGCGUUAUCCGGAAUUAUUGGGCGUAAAGAGCUCGUAGGCGGUUUGUCGCGUCUGCCGUGAAAGUCCGGGGCUCAACUCCGGAUCUGCGGUGGGUACGGGCAGACUAGAGUGAUGUAGGGGAGACUGGAAUUCCUGGUGUAGCGGUGAAAUGCGCAGAUAUCAGGAAGAACACCGAUGGCGAAGGCAGCUCUCUGGGACGGUACUGACGCUGAGACGCGAAAGCGUGGGAGGCGAACAGGAUAGAUACCUAGUAGC
rnacentral:rRNA from 1 species